UGCCCAAGCAGUACAAAUACAACUGAACAGAGUAAGCUAAGACUGUUCAGAGUUCUUUGCUCUGGUAACGCUGGUCUUAACAGUUCAAUUGGGCAUCCUCUAAACUGAGGGAGCCUAAAGAAGAUAUAUAGCCUCCAAACCACAAGUGCUAGAGGAAAGGGUGGGGUUCCAUGUAAGAAGACCCAAGGGAGAUGAGUAGUUCUCUUCAGAUUGUGUUCACUGUCUGGGCAUGUGCAAACCAGUAUGUGUGUGGGGGUGGAAAACAGGAAAGGAUGGGAGGUGAGUAAUGCUGUGGGCACUGAGGCAUUCAGUUAGUGGGAACAUUGCAGGCAGUUGGUGAGUAAGAGCCUAAGGAGCUGGUGACUUCACUCCUGAGCUCUAUAUGAAAGUGCUAGGCUGGCCCUAUCCUGUGUCCAAGAGGGUGCUUUGUAACUGAGGACUGCUAGUUUUCUGCUCUCUGCUUUCAUGCAUCUGGGUGGCCUUUAUACCUGUCCAGGGAGUGGGCCCAGCAAUCAAGUGACCUCUGCAGGGUCCCCAGUUCCUGCUGCUUCUGUACUUGCAGAGUGUAUCUACUCUUUCAUGUGGCCUGGCACCAUAUCACAGUGUGGUCUGCAUGUUUUCCCACUGUUUUUGUUUGAUAUUAUUUUAUUUUAGUGUCAGUAUUAGAGCAUGAACUCUGGGCCUCAUGCUUCUGUUUAGCUUUUUUGCUCAAGGCUAAAACUCUAUUACUUGAGCCCUAGCUCCACUUCUGGCUUUUUGCUGGUUAGUUGGA